CCCUGAGCCUGAGGAAAUUCGAGCCGCCCAUGUUCGAGCCGCCCACGGCGAGGAGGGUCCGCCAGAAGACAGGCUACCUCAACCUGGAGCGCGAGCAGCUGAUG
rnacentral:ribozyme from 1 species